GAGGAGCAUCGCUUGUCAUGAGCUGGUUCCCGGGGCGGGGGCGGAGGCGGAGGCGCUUUGAAAGCAGUCAUUGUGUGGCACUGGACGGGGAAUCAAGAGACCCGGUUUCUAAUCCCUGCUCUGUCACUAACAAGCUGCGUGAUCUUCGGUAAGUCAUUUAAACUCUGUCAUUGGCUUUGAUAUUUACACAUAAAAAUAGAUAUCUUCAUUCUAGGAUCAUUGUCAGGAUUUAAAAAUCAAUGUGAAAAUGCACUAAAAACUUAAAAGUUUCUUUUAUGGCUUAACUGUGCAGUCAUAAGUUUUUAAUAGUGUGAUUCUUAAUCAUUUCCACCAUUGUCAUAGGAAUCACCUGUUUCAUGAUAAAUAACUAACAUUCUGGGCAUGUUAUAGUUUUGUAAGAUAAUCAUCUAGUGUAUAUGAAUUUGCUUUUGGGUACUAAUAAAAAUCAUCUUUAACUUUAAUGUUCUUUACUGUCCAUAUUUGCUUUAGUGUAUCUACUGCAACCAUAUUUGUCAUUGUUUUCAUAAAUGUUUUUUC
rnacentral:sRNA from 1 species